GGCUUACUGCAGUGUACGCUUUGCCUGCUAUCUCUUACCCAUGUCUUUUGAGUACCUUACGUUUCCUCGGUGGGUUCGCCCACCGAUUGGACAAAUUUAAACCCUUUGCAGUUGAAAUCAGCGUCUGAAAAAAACUUAAUAGUUACAACUUUCAACAACGGAUCUCUUGGUUCUGGCAUCGAUGAAGAACGCAGCGAAAUGCGAUAAGUAGUGUGAAUUGCAGAAUUCAGUGAAUCAUCGAAUCUUUGAACGCACAUUGCGCCCCUUGGUAUUCCAUGGGGCAUGCCUGUUCGAGCGUCAUUUGUACCUUCAAGCUCUGCUUGGUGUUGGGUGUUUGUCUCCUGUAGACUCGCCUCAAAACAAUUGGCAGCCGGCGUAUUGAUUUCGGAGCGCAGUACAUCUCGCGCUUUGCACUCAUAACGACGACAUCCAAAAGUACAUUUUUACACUCUUGACCUCGGAUCAGGUAGGGAUACCCGCUGAACUUAAGCAUAUCAAAAGCCGGAGGAA
rnacentral:rRNA from 1 species